AACGAACGCUGGCGGCACGUUUUAAGCAUGCAAGUCGAAUGGCAGCACGGACAACUCUGUGAGAAUGGCGAACGGGUGAGUAACACGUAGGUGAUCUGCCUUGAGGAUGGGGAUAGCCUGUGGAAACACAGGGUAAUACCGAAUGAGCUGACGAGACUUUGGUUUUGUUAGUAAAGGUGCUACGGCACCGCCUUGAGAGGAGCCUGCGGCUGAUUAGCUAGUUGGUGGGGUAAGAGCUUACCAAGGCGACGAUCAGUAGCCGGCCUGAGAGGGUGUACGGCCACACUGGAACUGAGACCCGGUCCAGACUCCUACGGGAGGCAGCAGCUAAGAAUCUUCCGCAAUGGGCGAAAGCCUGACGGAGCGAUGCCGCGUGAUCGAUGAAGGUCGAGAGAUUGUAAAGAUCUUUUCUACAUGAGGAAUAAGUCUGGGAGGGAAUGCCCGGAUGAUGACGUUAGUGUAGGAAUAAGCCCCGGCUAAUUACGUGCCAGCCGCCGCAGUAA
rnacentral:rRNA from 1 species